CACACAUUUGUACAUAGUGUUUAGAGCGGAAAAAACUGUAAAUCCUAUUGGUCAGACACCUUACUGAGCUAAAGGUUACCUCAAGUAACUUAUUAAAAUGACAGUGUUAGCAAGAUGUCUGGAUUUCUGGCAGAUGGAAGGUAGGUAGCAAGGCAAGAGAAGAGUCCUUGAAUUUAAAACAGCUAGCAUCCUAUAACAAAGAACUUUUUCAGAAGGCGUUAUUUAAACUAUUUCUGAUUGUAUGGAAGUGGCUGUUUAUGGCAAUAGCAUCAUGUAGGUUCAGAACAAGAGUAACACAGAUAAACAAAAGUCAGUAGAAUUGGUUUAAUUUCUCCUCGGCUCCUUCUGGUGAGUGAGAUAACAGUAAAAGUAGGAAAGGAAGGGUGAGGGGCCGGGUGCACACCCAGUCCCACACAGUAAGACUCAUCGAGUGUUCCCAUAGCUCAGUGUAUCCCUCAAGGUAAAAUAAACCCUGUAUAUCUGGAAAGGCAUAAAAGUUAAAAAGAAAUUAUACAAGUUUUAUUCCCUGCAAAAACUGUCUGAUGAAAAAUAUGGUAGUGCUUUUUAGAAAGCCCUCAAGUCAAUAGACAUUACACAUACAAGUGUUAUCUGUCUCAUUCAGUUUGCAAAGUUUCCCUUGAAGUCUGUGGGGCUCAGCUUGGCUACAGUUGCAUUUCUCUUUGCCUUUCUCAAAUUUUCCUCACGUGAUUUUAUCUUUGCAUCUUACAGCACAUAAUUCUUGAUGGUAAUAGGAAGGAAGCUCUUGAUAUCUACUCAUGUCACAUGGAAAACUUUGCUUUUAAGUAUGCUCACAAUAUAAUCUUGGUUAUCACAUAUAAAAUACAAAAAUUUGAAUACAAUUUGUAAAAGAAUUCAGUGUUUCUUGUUUUUGUAAAUAUUGUUUCAGGGAAAGAAAUAGUUUAAGAAUUGAAAAUCAAAAGUAUUCUCUUGACAUUACUAGCCAAAUGUCAUAUAUUUAAUUGAUCUUUGAGAAGUAUUACCUAGGUACAAUUUUUUGUUCAGUUGAAAAACCUCCAGAGAACUGAAUUUAUACCCACUGAAAAAGACAAUACAGUGAACACGUAACAAAGAUAAUAAGCCAUGUAUGAAAGUGUCACAUGGAAAUAGAGCACCAGCAAUUGCAAGAGACACAUCUCACCGUAGAAGUUCUCAAACUAAUACCCAAUUCAAAAUUGAAAUGCUCAGCAAAAAAGUUAAUAAAUUGAUUGACCCCAAUAACCAAAUCAAAACCAACACAGGAGCCAUAUCUAGUUUGACCAUAGGUAGAUUAAUAAGACCACUAUCAGUAUUUCUAAGAUAAUGAUCUCCACAAAAAUCAAACCACAACCAAAUUCUCAAUAUUGAGACAUCAGUGUUUAAAAUUCAAUCCACUUAAGCAAAAAUUCCUUUUGAAAUAGGCAACACAGUCUUCUCAGUUUCUUCCCCAAAAGAAGUAAUGCUGAAAGAUUUCCGGUUGUAAAACUAUAUGGUCCAGUGAAGCUCAGUUUAGAAUGUAAAGCAUUUGAAGUUCAAGUCUACAGAAUGUGUAUGCUACAAGUAUCUCUAAAAUGAACCUUAUAAAUCAUCUCAGAGGGGAGGUGAUCUGGGGUGAGUAGAAGUCUGGCAAACUGUCAC
ensembl:lncRNA